AUUGAACGCUGGCGGCAGGCCUAACACAUGCAAGUCGAGCGAGAAAGGCCUUCGGGCUGAGUAGAGCGGCGGACGGGUGAGUAACGCGUAGGAAGCUACCCGGUAGCGGGGGAUAACUCGGGGAAACUCGAGCUAAUACCGCAUACGCCCUGAGGGGGAAAGCGGGGGACCGUAAGGCCUCGCACUAUCGGAUGCGCCUGCGUCGGAUUAGCUGGUUGGUAGGGUAACGGCCCACCAAGGCGACGAUCCGUAGCUGGUCUGAGAGGAUGAUCAGCCACACUGGGACUGAGACACGGCCCAGACUCCUACGGGAGGCAGCAGUGGGGAAUAUUGGACAAUGGGGGCAACCCUGAUCCAGCCAUGCCGCGUGUGUGAAGAAGGCCUUCGGGUUGUAAAGCACUUUCAGCGGGGAGGAAAGGGCGCUGGUUAACACCCGGCGCAGUUGACGCUACCCGCAGAAGAAGCACCGGCUAACUCCGUGCCAGCAGCCGCCGUAA
rnacentral:rRNA from 1 species